GAGUAAUAAGCCGCAAUUCACGGACCGGCAAAGGAGGGGGGGAACAGCGACCGGUAGCCCGGUUGCUACGGCAUUGCUGUUGCUAGCAGGGCCACAAGGCCCGUGUGAAGCCUCGCCUGCCUCUUUGGAGCUUUGUUUUGGUCUGUUUACCUGGAAAAAGCAGUGAGGCCUCAAAUAAGAAUUUUUGUAGCUAGAUGGUCUAAUGUUCUGAGGGCCAGCAACUUGAAGAUGAGCAGCUCAGCCCGUUUUGUUGAUUUCGGUGAUACUGUUUUAAGAAAGCAUAGUUUGGAGCUUUUGGAGGCCUUAGUUUUUAUCCUGCCUUGGCUGGACAGUGCUUUCUGAGAGUGUCUGUCAGCGACAGAUUGGCUGUGGAGUUUCCCUGAAGAGGGUCAUCUACCAAAGGCUGGAGGUGGCCAGGUGCCUGAGCGAGCCUGACUGUACGCGAGGGUUGCUGUGACAUCCUUGCAAUGAAAUGGAGCCAGAGAGGGUGACUGAAGCAACACAGAGGGUCAGUCAUAAUUGCGGAAACAAUUCCGGGCCUUGGACUAGGGAGUAGUUCUAGGAGGGCUGUGCAGUUGCCUGGCUGCUCAGUAACCGUUCUGGCCGCUUUGC
rnacentral:lncRNA from 1 species